rnacentral:rRNA from 1 species
GGGGAGGGUUUCCGCCCUUCAGUGCUGCAGCUAACGCAUUAAGCACUCCGCCUGGGGAGUACGACCGCAAGGUUGAAACUCAAAGGAAUUGACGGGGGCCCGCACAAGCGGUGGAGCAUGUGGUUUAAUUCGAAGCUACGCGAAGAACCUUACCAGGUCUUGACAUCUUCUGCCAAUCUUAGAGAUAAGACGUUCCCUUCGGGGACAGAAUGACAGGUGGUGCAUGGUUGUCGUCAGCUCGUGUCGUGAGAUGUUGGGUUAAGUCCCGCAACGAGCGCAACCCUUAUUAUCAGUUGCCAGCAUUCAGUUGGGCACUCUGGUGAGACUGCCGGUGACAAACCGGAGGAAGGUGGGGAUGACGUCAAAUCAUCAUGCCCCUUAUGACCUGGGCUACACACGUGCUACAAUGGACGGUACAACGAGUCGCGAAGUCGUGAGGCUAAGCUAAUCUCUUAAAGCCGUUCUCAGUUCGGAUUGUAGGCUGCAACUCGCCUACAUGAAGUUGGAAUCGCUAGUAAUCGCGGAUCAGCAUGCCGCGGUGAAUACGUUCCCGGGCCUUGUACACACCGCCCGUCACACCAUGAGAGUUUGUAACACCCAAAGCCGGUGAGAUAACCUUCGGGAGUCAGCCGUCUAAGGUGGGACAGAUGAUUAGGGUGAAGUCGUAACAGAGGUAACACGAC